GAGAAGUUGGUAUAGAAACCAAAUAACAAAAGUGAAAGAAAAAGAGAAAUGAGAGCCUCAAUGAGCUGGUGUACCACUGCCAGUUUCUUACUAGUCAUGCUUUCUUUAAAUCUGCUUUCAGGGGCCUUUGCAAGACACCACAAAUCGCCCCUACCACCACACACGGUUUAUUUGACUCCAUCACCAUCACCUAAUAAUCCUCCUUUACCAAAAUCACCACCAGUGCACAAGAAAUCUCCUCCACCAUCACCACCACAAUUUACAAGGGUACCAUCACCAAAGAAACCGAAAUCUUCACCACCACCACCUGAUCAAAUUUAUCAUAUACCUCCAUUUCCCCUUACCUGAGGUUCUAAUGGAGAAUGGAAAGUCUGGCCCUAGGUAUCUAAAUUUGGUCAUAGCUAUUGGUGAUGGUGAUACUCGAUCCAUAUAUUGUGGUUUAAUUUAAUAAUGAGCAUGUGAGAAUGAUAAAAUAAAAUUAAAAUAUAAGAGUGAAAUGUAA